AACGCAUCUUGCACCCUUUGGUAUUCCAAAGGGUAUGCCUGUUUGAGUGUCUUUAACAACAUCAACUAAGAUCGUCAGUCACGGUCGGACGUUGGACUUGAGCGCUGCCGUGAUCCGUUCCACAGGCUCGCUCGAAAAGUGUUAAGUCCAGUCUUCAGCGGUCUCGACUCUGUCAGGGUUGGUGUGGUAGAUUCAAAUCGCCUCCUUUGACGGAUUGGACGGCUGGGCUGCUUGUGAACUUUAAUGACUUUGGAAUCAGACCUCAAAUCAGGUAGGACUACCCGCUGAACUUAA
rnacentral:misc_RNA from 1 species